rnacentral:rRNA from 1 species
UGAGGAAUAUUGGUCAAUGGGGGCAACCCUGAACCAGCCAAGUCGCGUGAAGGAUGAAGGUCUUAUGGAUUGUAAACUUCUUUUGUACAGGAAUAAAUUGGGGGACGUGUCCCCUUUUGCAUGUACUGUAUGAAUAAGGAUCGGCUAGCUCCGUGCCAGCAGCCGCGGUAAUACGGAGGAUCCGAGCGUUAUCCGGAUUUAUUGGGUUUAAAGGGUGCGCAGGCGGGAUGUUAAGUCGGCGGUGAAAUUUUGCAGCUCAACUGUAAAAGUGCCUUCGAUACUGGCCUCCUUGAGUGUGGAUGAAGUAGGCGGAAUUUGUGGUGUAGCGGUGAAAUGCUUAGAUAUCACGAGGAACUCCGAUCGCGCAGGCAGCUUACUAAGCCACAACUGACGCUCAUGCACGAAGGCGUGGGGAUCAAACA